UUAUGGUGGGCACUCUAAGGAGACUGCCGGUGCAAACCGGAGGAAAGGUGGGGAUGACGUCAAGUCAUCAUGGCCCUUACGGCCUGGGCUACACACGUGCUACAAUGGUCGGUACAAAGGGUUGCCAAGCCGCGAGGUGGAGCUAAUCCCAUAAAACCGAUCGUAGUCCGGAUCGCAGUCUGCAACUCGACUGCGUGAAGUCGGAAUCGCUAGUAAUCGUGAAUCAGAAUGUCACGGUGAAUACGUUCCCGGGCCUU
rnacentral:rRNA from 1 species